GGCUGCCAGGUGCGGUGGCUAAGCCUGGGGACAUGGGUAUGGGUGCCGACCAUCAGGGCCGAGUUGCGACGAGAGAGUGUGUCGAUGUUAAGAUAAUAAGCCGAGUUGGCCAGGUCCCUAAGUCUUGGAUGGCGAGCUGUAGAUAGGCCUUGAGCCCGAGCCCAAGGAUCUCCACCUCUCAACCCCUGAACUCCA